rnacentral:misc_RNA from 1 species
GAUGAAGAACGCAGCGAAAUGCGAUAAGUAAUGUGAAUUGCAGAAUUCAGUGAAUCAUCGAAUCUUUGAACGCACCUUGCGCCCUUUGGCCAUUCCGAAGGGCAUGCCUGUUUGAGUAUCAUGAACACCUCAACUCUUCAUGGUUUUCCAUGAUGAGCUUGGACUUUGGGGGUCUUGCUGGCCUGUGGGUCGGCUCCUCUCAAAUGAAUCAGCUUGCCGGUUUUUGGUGGGCAUCACAGGUGUGAUAACCAUCUACGCUUGUGGUUUUCCACCAGGGUAACCUUCAGCAGUGGAGGUUCACUGGAGCUUACAAAUGUCUCUCCUCUGUGAGGACAGCCCUUUGAAUGUUUGAUCUCAAAUCAGGUAGGACUACCCGCUGAACUUAAGCAUAUCAAUAAGCGGAGGA